UUCUUGCCCUCUAGUGUUAUCAAACGACAGGUUCAUAAGAGGAAAAAAAACAGAUUCAUUAACCCAGGCACUUCUAACUAAAACAGCUUUCUAAUCUACGAUCUUCAGUUCRUUAGAUAUCGGAUAAAACAAGCAGCAUCUGCUGGCAUUUCAUCCCAACUACAAGCACCGAAUUGCCUUCUACAUUUAACCAUAGCUUCAAUGAACCACUGAAUGGCAUGAUGGCCAUGGAAUCUUCUAGAAUAAGGACCUUGUCUGGUGUCCGGUAAUAGGAGAGUGUCCGCCGAACAGAGGAAGGCGUGAAAAAUGUGAGAUCUGAGCUAAUAGAGGUAAGACUGUAUUAUUAGCAAAUUUGGAAUGAUUCGUCCAGGAUUUAAAUUGAUGUCAAUCGACAACACACUCUAAUCAAUCAUCUUUAGCAAGAGCGAGUCGUCGUUUAGAAAGCGCUAGCAUAGCAGAGGCACCUGGAUGGCGAACACUACUAUGAAGUUAAUAGGAGAUAUAUGGUGUCAAACACUGGGCGUCGCAUAUAACUGCGUGAAAAUAAUUGUUCACCAUGCUAAACGCUAAUCAAAUGAAUAUGAUAUGAACGCUGGCGUACAUUGCUGAA